GAUGAACGCUAGCGGCAGGCUUAACACAUGCAAGUCGAGGGGUAGAAGGAGCUUGCUCCUUUGAGACCGGCGCACGGGUGCGUAACGCGUAUGCAAUCUACCUUUUGCAGAGGGAUAGCCCAGAGAAAUUUGGAUUAAUACCUCAUAGUAUGUGAGGAUGGCAUCAUUUCACAUUAAAGUCACAACGGACAAAAGAUGAGCAUGCGUCCCAUUAGCUAGUUGGUAAGGUAACGGCUUACCAAGGCUACGAUGGGUAGGGUCCUGAGAGGGAGAUCCCCCACACUGGUACUGAGACACGGACCAGACUCCGUACGGGAGGCAGCAGUGAGGAAUAUGGACAAUGGGCGCAAGCCUGAUCCAGCCAUGCCGCGUGCAGGAUGAC
rnacentral:rRNA from 1 species